GGGCUCGUAGCUCAGCUGGUUAGAGCGCUUCGUUUACAUCGAAGAGGUCCUUGGUUCAAAUCCAUGCGAGCCCA
rnacentral:tRNA from 1 species